rnacentral:sRNA from 1 species
GUGUCAGAACGAUCGGGAUACUCAUCAAAUAACACGUGAAAACCGGGACGUCUUCUCUUGCCAAUGGCGGGCCACUAACCAAGCAUUCCCGUGCCGGUGGAUUACAAAAGCAGAGAGCUACCGCAACUUAUUCAAUAAGGAGUUUUCAUCACAUCAACUGGCGCGGUCCUU